GUGCUCACUUUAGCAGCACAUGUACUAAAAAUUAGAAAGACACAGAGAAGAUUAACAUGGCCCCUGAGCAAGGAUGAUACACCAAUUCAUAAAGCAUGCCACAUUUUU